UGAGUAGACGCAGCAGGAGCAAACUUUCCCACAGUACCACAAAACCCAUAGCAUACUUUUCCUAACAAAUAACAUGUCUUUCCUUCUGCCCUCUUCUAUUCUACCCCAGAAUGAGCUGCAGUGUUGUACCAGACCACAGUUCUCUAAUGGAAGCAGCUGUUGACCCUUCGGAUAUUCCAGAUUUGCAGCAGAUCAAAAGCUACAGUGGGGUCUUCCCCUUCUCAGGAGGCCCGGAAACAAGAGCAGAACCUGCCAGUUCAGGCCAAUAUCUGCUGCAGGGUGAUGAUGAUGCUGCAGGAGGAAACAGAUUUCUCCCUGACAAGACAGAAGACAAAUACUCUUCCAACUCGCUCUCCCUUGAUUGAAAUGACACAUCGCUACAUCUUUCUCUUGUACAUGACUUACAAUCACAGCUCAUUAUCCUUGACCUGUCCUUAACACUGUACAGUCUGCCUAAAAUAAAGGUUGAAUAGUCUUUUUGACUGCUCUGUUCCCAUGGAAAACUUCUGUUUGUUUUGUCAGAAGCUGUAUAUUUUAAAAGAGUAUCUACCUUGACAACUCCGAGAGACCUUGACUGUAUCAGGAAAGAGUUCUGCUCUUUUAAUAGAAAUAUCCCCCCUUGACAAGAAGUAAAUAUAUCGCCCAUAACUGCC